UUUUUUAUUUUAUUUUUCUCGUCAGAUGAACGCUGGCGGCGUGCUAAUACAUGCAAGUCGAACGCGCAGCGAGAGGUGCUUGCACCUUUCAAGCGAGUGGCGAACGGGUGAGUAACACGUGGAUAACUGCCUCAAGGCUGGGGAUAACAUUUGGAAACAGAUGCUAAUACCGAAUAAAACUUAGUAUCGCAUGAUAUCAAGUUAAAAGGCGCUACGGCGUCACCUAGAGAUGGAUCCGCGGUGCAUUAGUUAGUUGGUGGGGUAAAGGCUUACCAAGACGAUGAUGCAUAGCCGAGUUGAGAGACUGAUCGGCCACAUUGGGACUGAGACACGGCCCAAACUCCUACGGGAGGCUGCAGUAGGGAAUCUUCCACAAUGGGCGCAAGCCUGAUGGAGCAACGCCGCGUGUGUGAUGAAGGCUUUCGGGUCGUAAAGCACUGUUGUAUGGGAAGAAAUGCUAAAAUAGGGAAUGAUUUUAGUUUGACGGUACCAUACCAGAAAGGGACGGCUAAAUACGUGCCAGCAGCCGCGGUAAUACGUAUGUCCCGAGCGUUAUCCGGAUUUAUUGGGCGUAAAGCGAGCGCAGACGGUUGAUUAAGUCUGAUGUGAAAGCCCGGAGCUCAACUCCGGAAUGGCAUUGGAAACUGGUUAACUUGAGUGUUGUAGAGGUAAGUGGAACUCCAUGUGUAGCGGUGGAAUGCGUAGAUAUAUGGAAGAACACCAGUGGCGAAGGCGGCUUACUGGACAACAACUGACGUUGAGGCUCGAAAGUGUGGGUAGCAAACAGGAUUAGAUACCCUGGUAGUCCACACCGUAAACGAUGAAUACUAGGUGUUAGGAGGUUUCCGCCUCUUAGUGCCGAAGCUAACGCAUUAAGUAUCCGC
rnacentral:rRNA from 1 species